GCCAACAAUUUAGCCCCACCCUUCAUUAUUAAUCAACCUCACCUUACUCUUUUUUCCCAAAACAUUUUAACAUUCUAGUAAAGGCGAUUAAAAAAUUGCUCGGGAGCAAUAAACAUAGUACCGCAAGGGAAAAAUGAAAUAAAAAUGAAAAACUCUUAAGCACAAAACAGUAGAGAUUUACUCUCGUACCUUUUGCAUCAUGGUUUAACUAGUCUAACCAAGCAAAAAGACUUUUAGUUUGACUUCCCGAACCCAGGCGAGCUAUUUUAAGACAGCUUUUUGAGCUAACCCGUCUCUGUUGCAAAAGAGUGGGAAGAUCCUAAAAUAGAGGUGACAGACCUAACGAGCCUGGCGAUAGCUGGUUGCCCCUGAAAAGGAUCUUAGUCCCGCUUAAAGACUUAAUUAUAAUUCUAAAUCAUUCUUUAAAGUAAUUCAAUCAAGGUACAGCUUGUUUGAAAAAGGAUACAACCUCAAUUACUGGGUAUUUUCCUCAAUGACUAAGGUGACCAAGUAGGCCUAAGAGCAGCCAUCUUCAAUAAAAGCGUCAAAGCUUAAUCACCCUUCAUUCCAAUCCCUUCAUCUUUUAUUUAACCCUUUAUUACUAAGGGGCAAAUCUAUAUUUAUAUAGAAAAUUUUAUGUUAAAACUAGUAAUAAGAAGACGACUCUUCUCUUUAAUGUAAGUAUACAUCAGCAAGGACACCCCACUGAUCAUUAACGCUCUUAAUCCUAAAGUAAUAACUAACCUAGAAAAACUUACUCUAAUCCCACGUUAACCUAACACAAGCACAUUAUAAGAAAGAUUUUAAGAAAAAGAAGGAACUCGGCAAAUCUUUAGCCUCGCCUGUUUACCAAAAACAUCGCCUCCUGACUCAAAAUAGGAGGUCCAGCCUGCCCAGUGACAUUGUUCAACGGCCGCGGUAUCCUAACCGUGCGAAGGUAGCGUAAUCACUUGUUCUUUAAAUGAGGACUAGAAUGAAUGGCUUCACGAAGGCUAUACUGUCUCCUUUUUCUAAUCAAUGAAACUAAUCUUCUCGUGAAGAAGCGAGAAUCUAACUAUAAGACGAGAAGACCCUAUGGAGCUUUAAAUAUAAAGAUAUCUGCCCCUCCUUUUUGCAACUUCUUAGAAUUAAACAUACCCAGGCACUUUAUCUCAAAUUUUAGGUUGGGGUGACCACGGAGCACAAAUUACCCUCCAUGCUGAAAGAAUUCAUCUUCUUAGUUAAAAGCUACAACUUUACACACCAAUAAAUUGACUCUAAUUGACCCAAUAACUUGAUCAACGGACCAAGUUACCCUAGGGAUAACAGCGCAAUCUAUUUCAAGAGCUCAUAUCGACAAAUAGGUUUACGACCUCGAUGUUGGAUCAGGGUAUCCCAGAGGUGCAGCCGCUUCUAAUGGUUCGUUUGUUCAACGAUCAAAACCCUACGUGAUCUGAGUUCAGACCGGAGUAAUCCAGGUCAGUUUCUAUCUAUAAAGAGCUUUACCUAGUACGAAAGGACCGAUAAAGCACGGCCAAUGUUCUCACUAAGCCGUAAA
rnacentral:rRNA from 1 species